rnacentral:rRNA from 1 species
AGCGAACGCUGGCGGCGUGCCUAACACAUGCAAGUCGAGCGAGAAAGGGGUGGCAACACCCUGAGUAAAGCGGCGAACGGGUGAGUAACGCGUGGGCAAUCUACCUUCCAGUCUGGGAUAACCUUCCGAAAGGAGGGCUAAUACCGGAUGAUGUCCUGUUGGGGCAUCCUGAGGGGAGCAAAGGGGGCGACCCGCAAGGGGCGUCUCGCUGGAGGAGGAGCCUGCGUCCGAUUAGCAGUUGGUGGGGUAACGGCUCACCAAGGCGACGAUCGGUAGCCGGCCUGAGAGGGUGACCGGCC